UACGUAGGGAGCAAGCGUUGUCCGGAAUCAUUGGGCGUAAAGCGCGCGUAGGUGGCUUCGUAAGUCCGUUGUGAAAGUCAAAGGCUCAACCUUUGAAAGCCGAUGGAUACUGUGAAGCUAGAGUACGGAAGAGGCGAGUGGAAUCCUGGUGUAGCGGUGGAAUGCGCAGAUAUCAGGAGGAACACCAAUAGCGAAGGCAGCUCGCUGGGACGUUACUGACGCUGAGACGCGAAAGCGUGGGGAGCAAACAGG
rnacentral:rRNA from 1 species